GAAAAUUUAGUUAAAAUAUAACAUCAGCUUGUCAUGCUGGAAUUGUCUUCUAGACAAUUUUCU
rnacentral:tRNA from 1 species